AGCACUUUUCAUAUUGUGCUGACAGAUGUAAGUCCGACGUGCGACACCGCACUGCCAAAGAAUGGCUUUGGGAUUAC
rnacentral:ncRNA from 1 species